rnacentral:rRNA from 1 species
CCUACGGGAGGCAGCAGUAAGGAAUAUUGGUCAAUGGAGGCAACUCUGAACCAGCCAUGCCGCGUGCAGGAAGACUGCCCUAUGGGUUGUAAACUGCUUUUAUCCGGGAAUAAACCUACUUACGUGUAAGUAGCUGAAUGUACCGGAAGAAUAAGGAUCGGCUAACUCCGUGCCAGCAGCCGCGGUAAUACGGAGGAUCCAAGCGUUAUCCGGAUUUAUUGGGUUUAAAGGGUGCGUAGGCGGCCUGUUAAGUCAGGGGUGAAAGACGGUAGCUCAACUAUCGCAGUGCCCUUGAUACUGAUGGGCUUGAAUGGACUAGAGGUAGGCGGAAUGAGACAAGUAGCGGUGAAAUGCAUAGAUAUGUCUCAGAACACCGAUUGCGAAGGCAGCUUACUAUGGUCUUAUUGACGCUGAGGCACGAAAGCGUGGGGAUCAAACAGGAUUAGAUACCCUGGUAGUCCACGCCCUAAACGAUGAACACUCGCUGUUGGCGAUACACAGUCAGCGGCUAAGCGAAAGCGUUAAGUGUUCCACCUGGGGAGUACGCCCGCAAGGGUGAAACUCAAAGGAAUUGACGG